UACGGAGGGUGCAAGCGUUAAUCGGAAUUACUGGGCGUAAAGCGUGCGUAGGCGGUUGGGUAAGCCCUCCGUGAAAUCUCCGGGCCUAACCCGGAAAGUGCGGAGGGGACUGCUCGGCUAGAGGAUGGGAGAGGAGCGCGGAAUUCCCGGUGUAGCGGUGAAAUGCGUAGAGAUCGGGAGGAAGGCCGGUGGCGAAGGCGGCGCUCUGGAACAUUUCUGACGCUGAGGCUCGAAAGCGUGGGGAGCAAACAGGAUUAGAUACCCUGGUAGUCCACGGCUUAAACGAUGGAUACUAAGUGUCGGCGGGUUACCGCCGGUGCCGCAGCUAACGCAUUAAGUAUCCCGCCUGGGAAGUACGGCCGCAAGGUUGAAACUCAAAUGAAUUGACGG
rnacentral:rRNA from 1 species